AUUGAACGCUGGCGGCAGGCUUAACACAUGCAAGUCGAACGAGCGGCGGACGGGUGAGUAAUGUAUGGGGAUCUGCCUGAUGGCGGGGGGUCACUACUGGAAACGGUCGCUAAUACCGCAUACCAUCAGAUGAACCCAUAGGGGAUUAGGUAGUUGGUGAGGGAAAGGCUCACCAAGCCGACGAUCUCUAGCUGGUCUGAGAGGAUGACCAGCCACACUGGGACUGAGACACGGCCCAGACGCCGACGGGAGGCAGCAGUGGGGAAUAUUGCGCAAUGGGGGCAACCCUGACGCAGCCAUGCCGCGUGAAUGAAGAAGGCCUUCGGGUUGUAAAGUUCUUUCGGUAGCGAGGCGUUAACUACAGAAGAAGCACCGGCUAACUCCGUGCCAGCAGCCGCGGUAAUUC
rnacentral:rRNA from 1 species